rnacentral:ncRNA from 1 species
CUGUCCGAGGGGCGCUGCAGCAGGUUUUCCUGUCAGGCUCGGAUGGGGCGUUGUUCGACCGGGUUGUCCCGUCGAGCCUUAAACGCACAACGGCGCCCAUUCGCA